UCCUGGUUAACCCAGGCAGUCUCGUUAGAGUUCCCACCCUAAGUGUUGGCAACUAACGAUAAGGGUUGCGCUCGUUGCGGGACUUAACCCAACACCUCACGGCACGAGCUGACGACAGCCAUGCAGCACCUGUGCAGCGGUCCCGAAGGAAGAUGCCAUUUCUGGCACUGUCCACUGCAUGUCAAGUCUGGGUAAGGUUCUUCGCGUUGCAUCGAAUUAAACCACAUGCUCCACUGCUUGUGCGGGUCCCCGUCAAUUCUUUUGAGUUUCACCCUUGCGAGCGUACUCCCCAGGCGGUAUACUUAUCGCGUUAGCUUCGGCACAACUAGGGUUGAGUCCAGUUACACCAAGUAUACAUCGUUUAAGGCAAGGACUAC
rnacentral:misc_RNA from 1 species